UAGUCUGUUGUGUUUGCAGACAGGAGCCU
rnacentral:piRNA from 1 species